AACGGGUGAGUAACACGUGAGCAACCUGCCCUUGACUCUGGAAUAACAGCUGGAAACAGCUGCUAAUACCGGAUAUGACCUUUGAUGGCAUCAUCUAAAGGUGGAAAGCUCCGGCGGUCAAGGAUGGGCUCGCGGCCUAUCAGCUAGUUGGUGAGGUAACGGCUCACCAAGGCUUCGACGGGUAGCCGGCCUGAGAGGGCGACCGGCCACACUGGGACUGAGACACGGCCCAGACUCCUACGGGAGGCAGCAGUGGGGAAUAUUGCGCAAUGGGCGGAAGCCUGACGCAGCGACGCCGCGUGGGGGAUGACGGCCUUCGGGUUGUAAACCUCUUUCAGCAGGGGACGAAGCGCAAGUUGGACGGUACCUGCAGAAGAAGCACCGGCCAACUACGUGCCAGCCGCCGCGG
rnacentral:rRNA from 1 species